UUGAGUGUCAAGUGCGCUGGGAACCAUGAUGGAAUGAUCUUGACUAGUCCAGCAAGGACGAAGUGCCGAGUGACCACUGAAGUAUAGGAUAUUAUGAGAUUGGCGUCCUUGGCCACAAUUUCGGCAAGGUCCUUCGUUCCCUCCCUUGUGUAUUCCGUCAGACUGCGAUGAUCAACCUUCUCUGUUUGACGGCUCUACUCUCUAAAUUGACCAAACUAUUCUUGGCCAUUUCAGCUCUCUCCAAUAUCUCAACAUCUCUGUUUUUCUCUGUUACUACUAGAAAUCUACUGUUGGCCAUAAACUCCAUAUUGCUUUACGCAACUAGACAUAACGCUGAUUUGACGUUUUCCUACUGUUCCAUACUCCCUGUAGAACUAAAGACCCACACAAUGCUCUGUU
rnacentral:lncRNA from 1 species